AAGCCAUUGUGCGGACAAUCUCGCACUAGUCUUUUAAACCUCACCCAGACGUCACUGAGCGAUUCGUCAAUAUCCUGUUCAAAAUUAGUAAUCAGCUUCCUCUUCUU